rnacentral:rRNA from 1 species
AUUGAACGCUGGCGGCAGGCUUAACACAUGCAAGUCGAACGAGUGGCGGACGGGUGAGUAAUGUCUGGGAAACUGCCUGAUGGAGGGGGAUAACUACUGGAAACGGUAGCUAAUACCGCAUACCAUCGGAUGUGCCCAGAUGGGAUUAGCUAGUAGGUGGGGUAACGGCUGACCUAGGCGACGAUCACUAGCUGGUCUGAGAGGAUGACCAGCCACACUGGAACUGAGACACGGUCCAGACUCCUACGGGAGGCAGCAGUGGGGAAUAUGGCACAAUGGGCGCAAUCCUGAUGCAGCCAUGCCGCGUGUAUGAAGAAGGCCUUCGGGUUGUAAAGUGCUUUCAGCGGGGAGGCGUUACCUGCAGAAGAAGCACCGGCUAACUCCGUGCCAGCAGCCGCGGUAAUAC